rnacentral:rRNA from 1 species
AGAGUUUGAUCCUGGCUCAGAUUGAACGCUGGCGGCAGGCUUAACACAUGCAAGUCGAGCGGUAACAGAGAUAGCUUGCUAUCUGCUGACGAGCGGCGGACGGGUGAGUAAUGCUUGGGAAUAUGCCUUUGAGUGGGGGACAACAGUUGGAAACGACUGCUAAUACCGCAUAACGUCUACGGACCAAAGGGGGGGAUCUUCGGACCUCUCGCUCAUUGAUUAGCCCAAGUGAGAUUAGCUAGUUGGUAAGGUAAUGGCUUACCAAGGCGACGAUCUCUAGCUGGUUUGAGAGGAUGAUCAGCCACACUGGGACUGAGACACGGCCCAGACUCCUACGGGAGGCAGCAGUGGGGAAUAUUGCACAAUGGGCGAAAGCCUGAUGCAGCCAUGCCGCGUGUGUGAAGAAAGCCUUCGGGUUGUAAAGCACUUUCAGUUGUGAGGAAAGGGGUGUAGUUAAUAGCUGCAUCCUGUGACGUUAACAACAGAAGAAGCACCGCUAACUU